rnacentral:rRNA from 1 species
GAGGCGAACCGGGGGAACUGAAACAUCUAAGUACCCCGAGGAAAAGAAAUCAACCGAGAUUCCGAAAGUAGCGGCGAGCGAAAUUGGACUAGCCCUUAAGCUUUACACGCGUUAGACGAACGGUCUGGAAAGUCCGACGAUACAGGGUGAUAGUCCCGUAGUUGACGACGUGUGUUCAGUGAAAUCGAGUAGGGCGGGACACGUGAUAUCCUGUCUGAAUAUGGGGGGACCAUCCUCCAAGGCUAAAUACUACUGACUGACCGAUAGUGAACCAGUACCGUGAGGGAAAGGCGAAAAGAACCCCUGUGAGGGGAGUGAAAUAGAACCUGAAACCGUGUACGUACAAGCAGUAGGAGCAGGCUUUGUCCUGUGACUGCGUACCUUUUGUAUAAUGGGUCAGCGACUUAUAUUCAGUGGCAAGGUUAACCAUCUAGGGGAGCCGUAGGGAAACCGAGUCUUAACUGGGCGUUCAGUCUCUGGAUAUAGACCCGAAACCAGGUGAUCUAGCCAUGGGCAGGUUGAAGGUUGAGUAACAUCAACUGGAGGACCGAACCGACUAAUGUUGAAAAAUUAGCGGAUGACUUGUGGCUAGGGGUGAAAGGCCAAUCAAACCUGGAGAUAGCUGGUUCUCCCCGAAAGCUAUUUAGGUAGCGCCUCGGACGAAUACUACUGGGGGUAGAGCACUGUUAAGGCUAGGGGGUCAUCCCGACUUACCAACCCUUUGCAAACUCCGAAUACCAGUAAGUACUAUCCGGGAGACACACGGCGGGUGCUAACGUCCGUCGUGGAGAGGGAAACAACCCAGACCGCCAGCUAAGGUCCCAAAUUACUACUAAGUGGGAAACGAUGUGGGAAGGCUCAGACAGCCAGGAUGUUGGCUUAGAAGCAGCCAUCAUUUAAAGAAAGCGUAAUAGCUCACUGGUCGAGUCGGCCUGCGCGGAAGAUGUAACGGGGCUAAGUAGUAAACCGAAGCUGCGGCAAUAUACUUUUGUAUAUUGGGUAGGGGAGCGUUCUGUAAGCGGUUGAAGGUGUGUGGUAACGCAUGCUGGACGUAUCAGAAGUGCGAAUGCUGACAUGAGUAACGAUAAAGGGGGUGAAAAACCUCCUCGCCGGAAGACCAAGGGUUCCUGUCCAACGUUAAUCGGGGCAGGGUAAGUCGACCCCUAAGGCGAGGCCGAAAGGCGUAGUCGAUGGGAAACGGGUUAAUAUUCCCGUACUUCUUACAAUUGCGAUGGGGGGACGGAGAAGGCUAGGUGGGCCUGGCGACGGUUGUCCAGGUUCAAGUGCGUAGGCUUAAGAGUUAGGUAAAUCCGGCUCUUUCUAAGGCUGAGACACGACGUCGAGCAUCUACGGAUGUGAAGUCAUUGAUGCCAUGCUUCCAGGAAAAGCCUCUAAGCUUCAGAUUGUAAGGA